rnacentral:tRNA from 1 species
AGUCCUGUAGCUCAACAGUAGAGCAAUUGCCUUACAAGAAAGAGGUUGCGGGUUCAAAUCCUGCCAGGACUACCA